rnacentral:rRNA from 1 species
AUUUAAAUAAAAUUAGGUAGUAUUAUUAUUUUAAUAGAACCUAAAUAUAAUGGCGACAUAUAAUUUUAUUAGAGGAACCUGUCCCUUAAUCGAUAACCCACGAUAUUAUAAACUUAAAUCUAUAAAUUUAUAUACCGCCAUAAAAGAAUUUUUUAUAAACUAUAAUUCAAAAAAAUAUUAUAAAAAAAUAGGUCAAGGUGUAAUUUAAAUUUAAGAGAGGAUGUGUUACUUUAAAUAUUAUUUAAGGAUAAUAAUAAAUAAAUUUUAUUUUAAAAAGGAUUUAUAAUUAAAUGUAAAAUUUAAUUUACAUUGAAUUAAAUUAAAUAUGUGC